ACGAACGCUGGCGGCGUGCUUAACACAUGCAAGUCGCACGGAAAGGCCCUGCUUUUGUGGGGUGCUCGAGUGGCGAACGGGUGAGUAACACGUGAGUAACCUGCCCUUGACUUUGGGAUAACUUCAGGAAACUGGGGCUAAUACCGGAUAGGAGCUCCUGCUGCAUGGUGGGGGUUGGAAAGUUUCGGCGGUUGGGGAUGGACUCGCGGCUUAUCAGCUUGUUGGUGGGGUAGUGGCUUACCAAGGCUUUGACGGGUAGCCGGCCUGAGAGGGUGACCGGCCACAUUGGGACUGAGAUACGGCCCAGACUCCUACGGGAGGCAGCAGUGGGGAAUAUUGCACAAUGGGCGGGAGCCUGAUGCAGCAACGCCGCGUGCGGGAUGACGGCCUUCGGGUUGUAAACCGCUUUCGCCUGUGACGAAGCGUGAGUGACGGUAAUGGGUAAAGAAGCACCGGCUAACUACGUG
rnacentral:rRNA from 1 species